ACCCUUUUCUUACCCCUCUAAACUUCCGCUCCUCUGCUGCAAGAAGAAGCAGAAACCGCUGCCUUCCAAGCUCCAACAGCCUCUCAUCUUCAGCCACUCACACCCAGUCUUCAAGCUUCCAUUUUCAGCUUCCACCUCCACUUCUUGCUGCUGUCCAGAUCGAGCAAGAGGAAGGAGAGGAUCGUUGUUGCUGCUGCUACUCUCGCUGCUCCUGCCGCUGCUACUACUGCUGGGUUGUUCGGACCAAGGUGAAGGAGAAAAACCAGCUUCCUAUUUCUUCCUUCCACCAAUCACAGAACCACCUCAAGCUCACCAAAAACCCCAGAACCCCAGCCCUCUUCAUCUUCAGUCGCUGCUGUGCUGCUGCGGUGACUGGCCAGAUCGAGAGGGAAACAGAGAGCAAGGGAGCCGGCUGAUCCUCUGUGGUUCUAGGAGCAACUUGAGGAACUAGACAAUACAUUUAGCUAGUAAACAACCCACUUGAAGGUUCUGAAAUGCAUGAAGUCUUGGAGAACUAGAACAGAAAUGUUAUAUUUUGAAUGCCCACUUUUGUAAUUGUACUUUUGGAAACGUUAGUAUCUUUUGGAUGAUUUUUGUAUUUUUGGGAGAAUAUGAAUCCUGUGGUGCUUCUGUGCCCUGGAUUAAGAACUUUAAAUUGUAAAUUAAGUUGAAUUUAAGUAUACUAAACUCGACGUUUUCGUUGGUACUUGGAAUUGUGUUUUGGGCUGUAUAAGUUGAAUUGUAUGAAUUAUUUAAGUACGUGACUUGCUCGAGAAGUAAGGUUUGUUUUCGAUUUA